rnacentral:rRNA from 1 species
AUGAACGCUGGCGGCGUGCCUAAUACAUGCAAGUCGAGCGAACAGACGAGGAGCUUGCUCCUCUGACGUUAGCGGCGGACGGGUGAGUAACACGUGGAUAACCUACCUAUAAGACUGGGAUAACUUCGGGAAACCGGAGCUAAUACCGGAUAAUAUAUUGAACCGCAUGGUUCAAUAGUGAAAGACGGUUUUGCUGUCACUUAUAGAUGGAUCCGCGCCGCAUUAGCUAGUUGGUAAGGUAACGGCUUACCAAGGCGACGAUGCGUAGCCGACCUGAGAGGGUGAUCGGCCACACUGGAACUGAGACACGGUCCAGACUCCUACGGGAGGCAGCAGUAGGGAAUCUUCCGCAAUGGGCGAAAGCCUGACGGAGCGACGCCGCGUGAGUGAUGAAGGUCUUCGGAUCGUAAAACUCUGUUAUUAGGGAAGAACAAAUGUGUAAGUAACUAUGCACGUCUUGACGGUACCUAAUCAGAAAGCCACGGCUAACUACGUG